rnacentral:rRNA from 1 species
UCCUUCGGGAUUAGUGGCGGACGGGUGAGGAACACGUGGGAACGUGCCUUUUGGUUCGGAACAACUCAGGGAAACUUGAGCUAAUACCGGAUGUGCCCUUCGGGGGAAAGAUUUAUCGCCAUUAGAGCGGCCCGCGUCUGAUUAGCUUGUUGGUGAGGUAAAGGCUCACCAAGGCAACGAUCAGUAGCUGGUCUGAGAGGAUGAUCAGCCACACUGGGACUGAGACACGGCCCAGACUCC